UUUUGCAUUGGGUUUUCGGGCAAUGAUGCCGUUGCCCACCGCAUGCAACAGGUGCGUUUUACCGAGACCGGUGCCGCCAUA
rfam:Triticum urartu cultivar G1812 contig1159648, whole genome shotgun sequence.